GAAUCCGCCCUACACGGAACUCAAGCAGGGCAGUCAGGGAGUUCCCCAGAUGGAAACCAAGGUGCUGUUACCGGAAGAAGGAAAAUGUCUUCUGAACUCCAGUUUCUAUUCUAAGAGACGGCCACUUGGAGUAAAAGUUAAAUUUCCCAGCUUCCCUUGCAAGCUCAGGCUGCCUCUUCUCUGUGGUUGUAAGAUGGCUGCCAGCCGCUCCUGGCUUCUAUGUCAUGUCAGCGGCCUCAGCAGAGAGAGCACCACUUUCCUGGAUGAUCCAGCACGAGGUUGGGGUUGUCAGAGGAACAAGAAGACAAGCCACAGCCCGGAGGAGCCCAUUUGCAAAAGCAUACAGUAGUCACCCCUCAUCCACAAGGGAUACGUUCCAAGACUGCCAGUGAAUGCCUAAAGCCACGAGUAGUACCAAACCCUAUAUUUACCAUGUUUUUUCCUAUACCUACAUGUGAUAAACUUUAAUUUAUAAAUUAGACACAGUCAGGGAUGAUCAAAAAUAACAAUAAUAAAGGGUGAUUACA